rnacentral:lncRNA from 1 species
CUCAAGUGAAUUCUUUUCCUACAAAUACCUUAUGGGAGAGAGGAGCAGUUCAGAAGACAUUGAACUGGAGCAUCCUUUCUGCCCUAUGGGAGAAUGAGUGUAAAAAAAAAGGACUGAGAGAAAUUGGUAGUUGUGAAGCACAGAAACAAACAUGAUGGAUCCCAAAGAAUGGAGUUUCGUUCUAUGCUUGGCAUUUCGUAUGUGUGAUCAUGGGCCAGUCACCUAAUCUCUUUGGAAUUAUAUUUUCUCAAGUAUAAACUACAGUGUGCACCAAAUCUAUCUCCCGAGGUGGUUACAAGUUUCAAAAAUACAAGGAGUAAAUUCUUCUCCAUGACAUCAAAAUUCCCACUGCAUCAGCACAAGCUUCUUAUCCUCAGUGACCUGUCCAGUGCCCGCUCACCCCACAGUCAGCCUCAUCCCUGUUCAGAACUACACACAGGGUUGAGGAGGAAGUGGAGCCCUGGAGCCCAUGGGAGCUGCCAUUGGAUGAGCAGAGAGAAAACCCAUUGGGUUUUGCUUCAGAAGCAGAGGCCUGAGUGUACUACCCAGCAUGACUUGGCCUUUCCUGUGCUGAGGAUGAGGCAGAAGGAAAAACAUGGAAAAGGUCAAAGUCUGUCUCUGCUGCGUUGGCUUGCCCAGAACAAUUGUGUUGUCUGACGCUGGAGUAUGACUGUUUGUGACCCCUUCAGAGACAGCAGAGAGAUUCCAGAUCACUUAAAGCCGAUGCCAAAGCUGACAUGCUUGGUUUCCCUUUC